AUUGAACGCUGGCGGCAGGCCUAACACAUGCAAGUCGAGCGAGCGGCGGACGGGUGAGUAAUGUCUGGGGCUCUGCCCGAUAGAGGGGGAUAACUACUGGAGACGGUGGCUAAUACUGCAUACUAUCGGCUGACCUCAUAUGGGAUUAGCUAGUAGGUGGGGUAAAGGCACACCUAGGCGACGAUCGCUAGCUGGUCUGAGAGGAUGAUCAGCCACACUGGGACGGAGACGCGGCCCAGACUCCUGCGGGAGGCAGCAGUGGGGAAUAUUGCACAAUGGGCGCAAGCCUGAUGCAGCCAUGCCGCGUGUAUGAAGAAGGCCUUAGGGUUGUAAAGUACUUUCAGCGGUGAGGCGUUACCCGCAGAAGAAGCACCGGCUAACUCCGUGCCAGCCGCCGCGGUAAUAC
rnacentral:rRNA from 1 species